AUUGAACGCUGGCGGCAGGCUUAACACAUGCAAGUCGAGCGGUAACAGAGAGAAGCUUGCUUCUCUGCUGACGAGCGGCGGACGGGUGAGUAAUGCCUAGGAAUCUGCCUAGUAGUGGGGGAUAACUUGCCGAAAGGUAAGCUAAUACCGCAUACGUCCUACGGGAGAAAGGAGGGGACCUUCGGGCCUUUCGCUAUUAGAUGAGCCUAGGUCGGAUCAGUUAGUUGGUGAGGUAAUGGCUCACCAAGACCGCGAUCCGUAACUGGUCUGAGAGGAUGAUCAGGCACACUGGAACUGAGACACGGUCCAGACUCCUACGGGAGGCAGCAGUGGGGAAUAUUGGACAAUGGGGGGAACCCUGAUCCAGCCAUGCCGCGUGUGUGAAGAAGGUCUUAGGAUUGUAAAGCACUUUAAGUUGGGAGGAAGAGCAGUUAACUAAUAUUUGACUGUUUUGACGUUACCGACAGAAUAAGCACCGGCUAACUUCGUGCCAGCCGCCGCGGUAA
rnacentral:rRNA from 1 species